rnacentral:rRNA from 1 species
GGAGGAAGCAGGGGAUCGCAAGACCUUGCGCUUUUGGAGCGGCCGAUGCCUGAUUAGCCUGUUGGUGAGGUAAAAGCUCACCAAGGCUUCGAUCAGUAGCUGGUCUGAGAGGACGACCAGCCACACUGGGACUGAGACACGGCCCAGACUCCUACGGGAGGCAGCAGUGGGGAAUUUUGGACAAUGGGGGCAACCCUGAUCCAGCCAUGCCGCGUGAGUGAAGAAGGCCUUCGGGUUGUAAAGCUCUUUCAGCCGGAACGAAACGGUUACGGUUAAUACCCGUGACUACUGACGGUACCGGAAGAAGAAGCACCGGCUAACUACGUGCCAGCAGCCGCGGUAAUACGUAGGGUGCAAGCGUUAAUCGGAAUUACUGGGCGUAAAGCGUGCGCAGGUGGUUUUGUAAGUCAGAUGUGAAAUCCCCGGGCUUAACCUGGGAACUGCGUUUGAAACUACAAAGCUAG